rnacentral:misc_RNA from 1 species
GAUGAAGAACGCAGCGAAAUGCGAUAAGUAGUGUGAAUUGCAGAAUUCAGUGAAUCAUCGAAUCUUUGAACGCACAUUGCGCCCCAUGGUAUUCCGUGGGGCAUGCCUGUUCGAGCGUCAUUUACCCCCUCAAGCUCCGCUUGGUGUUGGGCGUCUGUCCCGCUUCGCGCGCGGACUCGCCCCAAAGGUAUUGGCAGCGGUCGUGCCAGCUUCUUGCGCAGCACAUUGCGCUUCUCGAGGCACCGGUGGGCCCGCGUCCAUCAAGCUCACCCCCCCAGUUUGACCUCGGAUCAGGUAGGGAUACCCGCUGAACUUAAGCAUAUCAAUAAGCGGAGGA